ACUCAUACCUUUCAUGGUCAUGAAAGUGGUUUUCCCAGGGUGAGGCUCAUCCAUUGCACUUCAGGUGUGCUGAUCCCUGUGAUUUCCCCAAAUGUGAAGAACUCAACUGCAUAAUUUGUGGCAAUGGGAGAUUGCAUUUGUGUUUUCCCUGG
rnacentral:snRNA from 1 species